GAAGAAGAAGAAAAAGAAGAAGAAAGGUUACAACAUCGAAAGAAGAAGAAGAAGGAUGUUUUGAAAGACUAAAUUACUAAAAGUGGGGUAGGUGGACAUAAAUAUAAAGUGGGACUUUUGAAUUUACUUGUUAGUGGGUUAUAUGGGUUAGGUGGCAGUGCAAUCUUGGUCUUGGGAGUGCUUUAUUACUUUAUUAAUAGAAAAUUAUAAUUGUUUAGAUAAUGUAAACAUUAUUAACUAUUAAUCGUAUUUUUAAUUAUUUAAGAUUAUAUUAGUUUAAUAAUGGUAAUUAACUAACUUUGAAAUUUUAUAAAAAAAAUGUAUAUUAUGUUAAAAAAAAU
rnacentral:misc_RNA from 1 species